GAGGCACCAUUAGGGAAUCUUCCCCAAUGGACGAAAGUUUGACGGAGCAACGCCGCGUGAGCGAAGAAGGUCUUCGGAUCGUAAAGCUCUGUUGUCAGGGAAGAACAAGUACCGUUCGAACAGGGCGGUACCUUGACGGUACCUGACCAGAAAGCCACGGCUAACUACGUGCCAGCAGCCGCGGUAAUACGUAGGUGGCAAGCGUUGUCCGGAAUUAUUGGGCGUAAAGCGCGCGCAGGCGGUCUCUUAAGUCUGAUGUGAAAGCCCACGGCUCAACCGUGGAGGGUCAUUGGAAACUGGGAGACUUGAGUGCAGAAGAGGAGAGCGGAAUUCCACGUGUAGCGGUGAAAUGCGUAGAGAUGUGGAGGAACACCAGUGGCGAAGGCGGCUCUCUGGUCUGUAACUGACGCUGAGGCGCGAAAGCGUGGGGAGCGAACAGGAUUAGAUACCCUGGUAGUCCACGCCGUAAACGAUGAGUGCUAAGUGUUAGAGGGCUUCCACCCUUUAGUGCUGCAGCUAACGCAUUAAGCACUCCGCCUGGGGAGUACGGCCGCAAGGCUGAAACUCAAAGGAAUUGACGGGGGCCCGCACAAGCGGUGGAGCAUGUGGUUUAAUUCGAAGCAACGCGAAGAACCUUACCAGGUCUUGACAUCCUUCGCUACCUCUAGAGAUAGAGGGUUCCCCUUCGGGGGACGGAGUGACAGGUGGUGCAUGGUUGUCGUCAGCUCGUGUCGUGAGAUGUUGGGUUAAGUCCCGCAACGAGCGCAACCCUUGACCUUAGUUGCCAGCAUUCAGUUGGGCACUCUAAGGUGACUGCCGGUGACAAACCGGAGGAAGGUGGGGAUGACGUCAAAUCAUCAUGCCCCUUAUGACCUGGGCUACACACGUGCUACAAUGGAUGGUACAAAGGGUCGCGAAACCGCGAGGUGGAGCCAAUCCCAAAAAACCAUUCUCAGUUCGGAUUGCAGGCUGCAACUCGCCUGCAUGAAGCCGGAAUCGCUAGUAAUCGCGGAUCAGCAUGCCGCGGUGAAUACGUUCCCGGGCCUUGUACACACCGCCCGUCACACCACGAGAGUUUGCAACACCCGAAGUCGGUGAGGUAACCCUUAC
rnacentral:rRNA from 1 species